AUCAAACACCAUGUGUUACAAGUACACCAUUGCUCUGUCUAGUCCCUCAUCACCAAACACGAGGAACACUCUCUCAUUUCCCGUCUGUCCCCAGUGCAGGAUCCUGGAAAGCAGAGCAACACAUUUACACAAGUCAGCAUGAACAUCCUUAUCUGAAGAGUAAUUAAUUACGGUGACAGAAUUAUCUGGCGCAGCUGGAGGUGCAGUGCCGUGCCAAUGCUUCUUGCGGCAAAUGUCUGCAACAUAGGCCUAUUCUGAAUCACUUCCGCGCCGCACCACCACUACUUUCAAGAGGCUCUAGCUGAAGUGAUUUUUUUCAAGAAAUAUACUUGGACCUACGUUUGUAUAUACAUACACGAACUGCCGCUGUUGACUUCUUGCAGCGUCUUUUAUAUUCUUACGUUCUUGUUAUGGUCGUAAGUUGUCCGCUGGCACCGAGUGAAAGUGAGCGGGAGCCAACCGUCUUGUACAAGCAGACAGGCGCUGAGAACCUGGCGCGUGGGAAGCUGUCAUUGCACUAAUGCCCGCACAGUGGCACCAGUUUCCGGUUUUGUCUGUUUUUUCUCCACUUAAUACAUGUCGACCUUAUUACCGGAAAACCGCAAUUUGGCGCGACUUAAGUGAACAUUAGAGAGCAUUUCCAUAAAGUCCCUCCGGUAAGUAUUCGUAAUGGUGAGUAAUGCUGCUGUUUACUUGUUCAGCGUCGGACCUCAGCCGCCUCUUCCCGCCGCGUCCUGCAGCCCGUAACGAGGCAACUUCUGCCCCGCGUCCUAACUUUUGGUACAAGACUCGCAGCUUUAUGUCUGGACACACUUAGCGAAGAGAAGGAAAGAAGGAAGAAUCUCAGCAUUCAUAUUUAU